ensembl:lncRNA
CUGGUUUUCAAGAGUGGAAAAAGAACACAGAGCUUUCGGAUAUUCACUGACCUUUGUUAGAGUAAAGUUAUUAUUGAAGUUGCUCUGAUCAAGAGAGAAAAAUGAAUACGUUUCUGAAUGCACUUAAAGCUGGAGAGGAAACGACAACGGACCCCAAGGACACACCUGAAGUGUAUGUCUGGGCCACAGAACCGGCUCUGGUCCAACCCACAGAGGUUCCUCAGGACCAGCGUUCCAUGACAAAACUUGAGGAGAAACACCAGAAGGCUGAGGAUUCCAUUGCUCAGCUGGAGGUGGAGAAGGCGAACCUGACCAGCCAGGUGGAGAAACUGCGAAGAACAGUGGCGAACAUGGGGACCAUGCUCUCUGAGACUCACAGGGAGUGUGAUAAGUUAACAGACGAGUAUGAGCAUGAACAGGAGGCUCACAGCAUCCUCCAGAAGGAGAACGAUGAGAUGAAGGAGACUCUGAUGCACAAGGAGGAGUUGCUAAAGGUCUCAUUGCCUGAAGCUGAGGAGAAACACCAGAAGGCUGAGGAUUCCAUUGCUCAGCUGGAGGUGGAGAAGGCAAACCUGACCAACCAGGAGUAUGAGCGUGAACGGGAGGCUCACAGCAUCCUCCAGAAGGAGGACGAUGAGAUGACGGAGACUCUGAUGCACAAGGAGGAGUUACUAAAGAGCUCCAUGGUGAAAGCUGAGAAGAAACACCAGAAAGCUGUGGAGACUAUUGCUCAGCUGGAGGUGGAGAAGUCUGACCUAAAAGACCAGGUAGAGACACUGCGAAGAACAGUGCAGAAAAUAGGGAACAUGCUCACUGAGACUCACAGGGAGUGUGAAGCGCUAACAAAUAAGUAUGAGCAAAAGCAGGAGGCUAACAGCAUCCUCGAGGCGGUGAACGAUGAGAUGAUGAAGACUCUGAAGGAGCUUGAGAUGAAGAACAAUGAGAUGAAGCAGACUCUGAUGGAAAAAGAGGAAUUACUGAUGACUCCCUGGCAGAGACUGAGGAGCAACACCACGAGGCUGUGGAGUUGGUUUCCGAGGCGGAGGCAGAGAACUACGACCUGACUAAUCCAAUGAAGACCCUGGUACAGUGGGGGAAAUAAGUAUUGGAUGCGUCAACAUUUUCUUCAAGAAAUAUAUUUUCAAUGAGGCUAUUCACAUGAAAUUUUCACCAGACAUCAGUAUUAACUCAAGAAAUCUGGAAAUAUAAAGAAUUCUCAACAUUAAAGUCCAAACAUAAAGUGGAAUGACAAAUGUUCCUUAGUAGUAGUACUCUGUAAUGCCUCUGUUCCUUCUUACUGGUUAAAGCUGACUUAUAGCUUACUGGUUACGGCUUAAACUCUUACAUAAUCGACAUAUACUUGCAGUAAGUGUUCUGAUCACCCAAAUGAACUUUGUGUGACUCACUCCUUUUAUACUAUGCUUGUGUUUCAAGUGUUUUGUUGUCUUAAGUGACGUUUGUGUUACUAUCCUCUGCUUUUUAAUUAUAAGAUGGACAGACACUCCAGGUGAGUACAGUACACAUGCCUCACUAACAGAGACGAUUCAUUCUGUUUAUUCAUGUUUGAUGUAACGUUGGUGCAGUGUGGGAGCUUUAGUGAUUGCACCAACACUAACCUUGCUAAUAAAGUUCAUG